UACGUAGGGUGCAAGCGUUGUCCGGAAUUAUUGGGCGUAAAGAGCUCGUAGGCGGUCUGUCGCGUCUGCUGUGAAAACUCAGGGCUUAACCCUGAGCUUGCAGUGGGUACGGGCAGACUAGAGUGCGGUAGGGGAGCGGGGAAUUCCUGGUGUAGCGGUGAAAUGCGCAGAUAUCAGGAGGAACACCAGUGGCGAAGGCGCCGCUCUGGGCCGUGACUGACGCUGAGGAGCGAAAGCGUGGGUAGCAAACAGG
rnacentral:rRNA from 1 species